rnacentral:lncRNA from 1 species
GAUAUAAAUUAACUCAGUCACCUAAAAUAUCUUUUGCUCUUUGGGAUAAGAUAAACUUCCUUUAUUGUAAGUACUUUGUUUGGUUAAAAAAAAUUUCCUGCCGGAUGUGGCUUCAUAUUCCCAUAAUCCUAACAUUAAGAAACUGAGGCAGGAGGAGUUCAAGUUUGAGGCUAGCCUGGGCUACAUAGCAAGAUCCUCUCUUAAAACAAUAUAAAAUCUUCAUAGUGCAAAUGAAUACAGUUUAACUAAAAGUUUUGGCAUGAUCCUUAAUAGAUUGUAGAUUAAAUAAAAAAUUUACUAUAGUUGCAGGUAGUUACCUAAAGUUAGGCUUCAGUUCUUUGUAUGUGAGUUUGAAUACUGGGGAGUGAGCUAGGGGAUUGUUUAUGCCAGGCAAGCAUUCUAGCACUAAGCUACAUUCUCAGCCCAGAACUUCAAUUCUUAAUUCUUUUGGAAUUCAGGAACAUGGUUUUAUUCUUUUCUGUUCUUUGUUUGGGGAAUAUUCCAGAAUAAAAACACAUUGUUUUGAAAACAGUUUAGUUGUCAUGAAAUGCCUGUGUUUGUCUCUCUGUAGCUCAAAUCGCAUCUAGUCAGCAAUUGCUGUUGUGUUUUAAAUCACUGAGUGAGGGAGGGGCAUAGACUCUUAUUAUUAUUUUGUAUGUGAGCAUAGGUACUUAUUUCCUUGACUUCUUUCCUCUCUAACCUACAUGCGUACUCGUUUAUUCUACACAGUAUUUUCUUAAUCCUCGGGAGGCAUCUUCCUGGCUUGUUUAUUUUAGCAAUUAUUUAUAGAGACCUUAAUAAAUGCUACACACUUGUCUCGCUUAUUAACAGUUCCUUCCCAGUUUCUUAUCACUAACAUCCCUAAGACAGAAAUCAGAUGGAAUGAAGCUUUGCUUAUUUCAUCAACAGUCUAAGUCUCAUUGCAGGCCAGAGACUAGCAUGUCAUCAUUUUAAGUCACAAGAAGCUCAAGAGUUUUGUAGCAUUAUCCUGAAAUCUAGCCCUCCACUUCCUCAUGUCAGAGACUUCACCACAGGCUUUGUUCUGACCCAGAUGCAUAAAAUAUUUGUAGCAGGCUUUUUUUUUUUUUAAUUGCUAAACACAAGAACAUGUCUUCCGCCAAGAUUACAUCAACAAAUUUGUUGCUGCAGUGAAUUGUUGCAGCCUUUGCAGUCAUUUUCUGGGGAGUGGUAAUCAUCUAAAAAUAGGUGAAAUUUUCCACACUGUUUACUUGGAUCUGACUUUCACUUAUAUAAUAACACAGUUACAGAUACUGAUUAUAGUCAUAAAAUUCACUUAAGUCUGGUUUUAAGACUUUAUGCUGUAUGUAGUAUAUGUGUCCUUUGCUUUUAAAACACAAAGAAGCCAGGGCUGGGAAAGCAGUUCAGUAGAUAAAGCAUUUGCCUGAGUUCAGACCCCAGCACCUGUUCUGCAGGCACAGUACUAGUAACCCCAGCGCUGAGGAGAGAUAGAUGGUGGAGAGAUGUACACCUGGAGCUCACUGGCCACCUAGUGUAGCUGUAUCAGAGACUUGCUGGCUUGUCUCUGAAACUAAGGCAAAAAUCAGCUGAAGAACACAUCCCCCCACACACACCUACCAAUGGCUGGCACACGUGCACCCUCCCAUGAAUCUAUGCAGAGCAUAUAGUUCAUAUAUACAUUUUUUUUUUUUUUUGGUUUUUCGAGACAGGGUUUCUCUGUGUAGCCCUGGCUGUCCUGGAACUCACUUUGUAGACCAGGCUGGCCUCGAACUCAGAAAUCCAACUGCCUCUGCCUCCCAAGUGCUGGGAUUAAAGGCGUGCACCACGACGCCCGACAUUCAUAUAUACAAUUUAAGAAAUACUUGGAAAUGUAAAAUUAUAAACCACAUCAAUUAGCAUGUUAUAAUUCAUUUAACAAGAUAAUUCUCACAAAACUAUUCAGUAUAGGUUUCCUCUUAAAAGUUUUAUUUAAAUGAUUUAGCUUACAAAAACCAAACCGUCCCAAAAUAUUGCAACUAGGC